UACGGGGGGGGCAAGCGUUGUUCGGAAUUACUGGGCGUAAAGGGCUCGUAGGUGGCCAACUAAGUCAGACGUGAAAUCCCUCAGCUUAACUGGGGAACUGCGUCUGAUACUGGAUGGCUUGAGUAUGGGAGAGGAAUGCGGAAUUCCAGGUGUAGCGGUGAAAUGCGUAGAUAUCUGGAGGAACACCGGUGGCGAAGGCGGCAUCCUGGACCGGCAUUGACGCUGAGGCGCGAAAGCCAGGGGAGCAAACGGG
rnacentral:rRNA from 1 species